CACGUAGGGGGCGAGCGUUGUCCGGAUUUAUUGGGCGUAAAGAGCUCGUAGGCGGCUCGGUAAGUCGGGUGUGAAACCUCCAGGCUCAACCUGGAGACGCCACCUGAUACUGCUGUGGCUAGAGUCCGGUAGGGGAGUGUGGAAGCUCCUGGUGUAGCGGUGAAAUGCGCAGAUAUCAGGAAGAACACCAGCGGCGAAGGCGGCACUCUGGGCCGGAACUGACGCUGAGGAGCGAAAGCGUGGGUAGCAAACAGG
rnacentral:rRNA from 1 species